UACGAAGGGGGAGCUAGCGUUGCUCGGAAUCACUGGGCGUAAAGGGUGCGUAGGCGGGUCUUUUAAGUCAGGGGUGAAAUCCUGGAGCUCAACUCCAGAACUGCCUUUGAUACUGAAGAUCUUGAGUUCGGGAGAGGUGAGUGGAACUGCGAGUGUAGAGGUGAAAUUCGUAGAUAUUCGCAAGAACACCAGUGGCGAAGGCGGCUCACUGGCCCGAUACUGACGCUGAGGCACGAAAGCGUGGGGAGCAAACAGGG
rnacentral:rRNA from 1 species